rnacentral:rRNA from 1 species
CCUACGGGGUGCAGCAGUGGGGAAUAUUGGACAAUGGGCGAAAGCCUGAUCCAGCCAUGCCGCGUGUGUGAAGAAGGCCUUCGGGUUGUAAAGCACUUUCAGUGGGGAAGAAAGCCUUGGGGCUAAUACCCUCGAGGAAGGACAUCACCCACAGAAGAAGCACCGGCUAACUCCGUGCCAGCAGCCGCGGUAAUACGGAGGGUGCGAGCGUUAAUCGGAAUUACUGGGCGUAAAGCGCGCGUAGGCGGUCUGAUAAGCCGGUUGUGAAAGCCCCGGGCUCAACCUGGGAACGGCAUCCGGAACUGUCAGGCUAGAGUGCAGGAGAGGAAGGUAGAAUUCCCGGUGUAGCGGUGAAAUGCGUAGAGAUCGGGAGGAAUACCAGUGGCGAAGGCGGCCUUCUGGACUGACACUGACGCUGAGGUGCGAAAGCGUGGGUAGCAAACAGGAUUACAUACCCCGGUAGUC